GGGACAAUGCGCUCGGAGAAAAAUGUUCUUCAUUUGCUUCUCCUGAGAAACAACCCCUCCGUCGCGCUGGAAUUCGCCACCGGCGGCGGCGGAUGACCUAACCCCCUAAAUGUUACAUCAAAACACUCAUACUUUCUCACUCUAUCUCGAUCUCACACCGUUUCCAUUUGAUUCCUUUCCCUAAGCCCGAAUCGAAGAAAAACCCCAAAUAAACCCUAAAUUUCCAGAUCAAAAGAAAUCAUAAGAUAUCGCGAGGGAAUCGAAACCUACGAGGGUAUGGCUUUAAAUCCUGAAGCUCAAAACUAAACUGUGGUGGCGAUUCAGGAUCCAAUCAAAAGAAGAAGCGGAGGAUUAUUUACCUGCCAGAGUAGCUUCGGCGGCUCUUCAGAAGUGGCGUUUCCUGAAGUACUCCAGAGAUUCGUCUCCUCGGAGAGUAUUACGAAUCGUGAGACUCUGAGAGUUAAGAUUGAUUAAUGAAGAAGAUUUAGAGUGAAAAAAGCUUGUGCGUGGAUGAAGAGUGAAGAUUUCAAGGAUUUGAAGAUUGGAUGAAGAGUGAAGAUUGUGAAGCAGGAAGAUGAAGGUGAAGGAUUUGAAGCAGGAAGAUGAAGGUGAAGCAAAAUGGAGAAUGAAGUUUUUUGCAGAAAACGCAGAAUCUCAGUAUGGCUUGCUGUUGUUAUCAGUGUUUUGAGGCAAUUCUAUUUUUGAGAUGAAUGUUACCACAUUGCAAAAUGGUUUCGCAUGCUGCAGGUUGUUUACUUGCUCAUGGUUGAUUUGGAUUUUGGCCUGCUGUGUAAGCUUGUUAUCAUGGUAUUAAAAUGUCAUGUCAUGGCAAAUGGAUAUGAUCAAGGAUACCAAGACUUGAGGAUUAAGAUGAUGGUUUAGGGAUAGAUGUUAGAUUGUGUAAUUCUCUUGAUCAUGUAAUAGUAGUUGUAUAAGGAAUUUUAAGAGUUUGAAACAUACGAAGAUGCUCCUUAUGUGAAACCAAAUUGGUUUUUAAAAUUGUAUUUGAGUUGGUUUUGAAGAAAGUUUCUAAAGUUUGUUUUAA